CUGCUUUCCUGUGACCCUCACUUGCGACCAUCGCAGUAUACUUUGGGGAAGCAUGUGAAUUCGGAGCAAGCUUUGAAGUCAGGUGAGAGAAGCACUUGGUAGCAUCAAGCUCUGGCCCAGGACCUGAGAGUGAGCUAGGAUUUGCACACGGAGAAAUACAACAGGCCUUGGCAUUGCUCGCUCGCUUAACGCUGGACGUGGGGUAGGCUCAGGCUACAGAAAGGCCAUCCCAACAGGACCGUGUCUUUUAUGUCCCCACAGUGCCUCCCCCUCCCCUUACUCCCUGUACUUGGUCUCCAGCUCUGAAUGCAAUUGAUGCUUUUGCACUUGGUAUUGGGGGUAGAAAAGGAAAGGAAGCUGGGUGCUUUCCAUGUGUGCGGGCUGCAGCCUUGGAAAAUACAAUCUUGUACGAAACUGGCAACGUAUCUUAAAAUAAUACCACUUUGGGGAAAACAUCAUAUGGAAACAAAAGCUCUCUCAUUUGUGAAGGUGUGUAUAAAAGAAUGUUUAUUGCCAUGUGGCUUAGAAUGAUAUAGGACAUUAGGAAUGGGAUGGUAGUUCCAAAAAGCUUAUCUUUACCAAGAGACCUUGAACAGCUUUCUGAAAGGAGAAGCUGGAUCUCCACCACGCUAACCGGUAAAGAAGAGGCCUACAAAGUGGUGUUUAAGGAAGAAAGUUAAGUCUUUGGAUGAUGUACAUGAUACGACUCCAAUGCCAACACCACAUCCAGCAGCACACACGGAAUUGAGGUCUUUUAUGUAUGUGAAUGAAAAACAAAAAUGUCAACAUUACCUUGGGGAGGUGAAAUUUUAGAUUAAAAAAUGUAAUGGAUUUCACAUUAAAAACAAACUCCUUCGAAGAGAGGAAAGAGAGUGGGGUAUAAACAGUCCAGAAGAGAGAGAGAGA